CUUAUAAACUAUCACGACGCCCAAAAAGUCGUGGCUUGGGUUUUGCCAGCUGGCGUGAUCUCCUCUAUGAGUAAUCAUGUGAGGUGCCAGAUCUAUGGCGUUUCCCUAAUGUAUCCGGAUGCACCCUUGUCUUGGCAGAAAGCCGUGGUGAGGUGCAGUGGCGGAAUCGUGGUUUAAUAAUCGGGUUGGUACUCAGUUGUCAGUGUGUUCGGCGAUCCCCUAGUCGGCACACUCAUGAUUUCUGGGAUAAUUCCAUACCAGGCACGUUCCGUUACUGUUACUUUGUCAUUGGUUUGAUGCUGAACUUGGUCAUGUGUCUGAUGCUAUUUCAUAUAACGACGGUACCCUUCGUGGUCUGUCUUC
rnacentral:misc_RNA from 2 species